rnacentral:lncRNA from 1 species
GACCAUGCUGCUCUGCUUCCCUUCUCUCUGCCUCUAGGCAGCUUCUUGCUUCAUGGUUAAAUGUCCCUGAGCAAGGAGCCUGGGCCAAUCCUGCUGGGGCUGGACCUGGAGGCCCGCCCCAGGGAGGAGGGACUGAGCCCUGGCCCAGAUGCAAAGGCGGCCUGAAUCGCCGGUCUUGAGACGUGUCUGUGAGUGCAAACCUUCAGAUUUGUCAGCCCAACAUGUGAGCAAAGGCUUUCAAAACCUCCAGGGGUGAUGCGCAUGCUGGUGCACUUGGGAAAUGUUAUUUUGGCACCUGUCAUUCUCACCACGAUAUUUUAAAUACUUUUUGAAACAGAGCUUUAUUUUAUAAAAAAGCUAACCAGCAAGCAAGAAAAAAAAAAAAAGAAACCAAAACAAAAACUCAAAUCAACAUGAAGGAAUGAGGCUUUCUUUUCCAUGGUGUGUUUCUUCCCAAGCUUUCUAAAUCUGCCAGGACAUCUGAAGGUCCCUGUCUCCUUCUGAGUCAUCAAGGGAAAUUAAGGGGGCCGGUCUCCAGCCCUGCCAGGCCCUGAACCGACCCUGCAGGUCACACUUAUGCACCACCCCAUCAUCACUCACUCGAAGCCAGGGCACCGCCCCUUCAGUACUUACUGGGUCUUGAACACAAGACCUCAGAUGCACUAAGCAAGCCCUGAGCUACACUAGCAACCUUAGUUUUUCCAUACGGUCACCAGCUUCACUGUGAGCUUCUUAUUUUAAAUAGAGAGCUUCUUGGUCCAAGUACCCUGUGGCUCAGUGUAAUAAAUAAACUUACAUCAGCUGAACAUUUGUGUACUGAUUGUCUAUUAAAUGGAACCCUUGUGUACCUUGCAUUACACUGGAUGUCUUUUUAACAUCUGACUUUGCUAUCGCAUCAGAACCGCC